GCAAUGAUGAAAUAUAUGAAACUGAACAAUACAGCUAUGAUAGUUAUUUUUUAACCCUCUAAGAAGUCCUGAGCUC